rfam:Nematostella vectensis strain CH2 x CH6 NEMVEscaffold_7153_Cont52559, whole genome shotgun sequence.
GCCUCUGUAGGUAAGUGGUUAGAGGACUGGUUUUGUAAACCAGGGGUCGAGAGUUCGAGUCUUUUCAGAGCCU